UACGGAGGAUCCAAGCGUUAUCCGGAAUCAUUGGGUUUAAAGGGUCCGUAGGCGGUUUGGUAAGUCAGUGGUGAAAGCUCAUCGCUCAACGGUGGAACGGCCAUUGAUACUGUCUGACUUGAAUUAUUAGGAAGUAACUAGAAUAUGUAGUGUAGCGGUGAAAUGCUUAGAUAUUACAUGGAAUACCAAUUGCGAAGGCAGGUUACUACUAAUGGAUUGACGCUGAUGGACGAAAGCGUGGGGAGCGAACAGG
rnacentral:rRNA from 1 species